rnacentral:rRNA from 1 species
AGCGAACGCUGGCGGCAGGCCUAACACAUGCAAGUCGAGCGCCCCGCAAGGGGAGCGGCAGACGGGAGAGUAACACGUGGGAACGUACCCUUCAGUUCGGAACAACCCAGGGAAACUUGGGCUAAUACCGAAUACGUCCGUAAGGAGAAAGAUUUAUCGCUGAAGGAUCGGCCCGCGUCCGAUUAGCUAGUUGGUGGGGUAAUGGCUCACCAAGGCGACGAUCGGUAGCUGGUCUGAGAGGAUGAUCAGCCUCACUGGGACUGAGACACGGCCCAGACUCCUACGGGAGGCAGCAGUGGGGAAUAUUGGACAAUGGGCGCAAGCCUGAUCCAGCCAUGCCGCGUGGGUGAAGAAGGCCCUAGGGUUGUAAACCCCUUUCAGCGGGGAAGAUAAUGACGGUACCCGCAGAAGAAGCCCCGGCUAACUCCGUGCCAGCAGCCGCCGUAACAC